AGAGUUUGAUCCUGGCUCAGGAUGAACGCUAGCGGCAGGCCUAAUACAUGCAAGUCGAACGGCAAGAUUUGGUAGCAAUACUGAAUCCUAGAGUGGCGCACGGGUGAGUAACGCGUACAUGACAUACCUAUAAGCGAGGGAUAGCAUUGGGAAACUGGUAGUAACCCCUCAUGUGAUUAUUUGUAAUAAAGGUAAAUAAUUAAAACUACGGUGCUUAUAGAUUGGUGUGCGUCUGAUUAGCUAGUUGGCGAGGUAACGGCUCACCAAGGCGACGAUCAGUAGGGGGCGUGAGAGCGUGAACCCCCACACGGGUACUGAGACACGGACCCGACUCCUACGGGAGGCAGCAGUAAGGAAUAUUGGUCAAUGGAGGGAACUCUGAACCAGCCAUGCCGCGUGCAGGAUGAAAGCCCUCUGGGUUGUAAACUGCUUUUAACAGGGAAGAAAAUGCUAUACGCGAUAUAGUACUGACGGUACCUGAGGAAUAAGCACCGGCUAACUCCGUGCCAGCAGCCGCGGUAAUACGGAGGGUGCAAGCGUUAUCCGGAAUCACUGGGUUUAAAGGGUGCGUAGGCGGUUUUAUAAGUCAGUGGUGAAAUCCUGUCGCUUAACGAUAGAAUUGCCAUUGAUACUGAUAGUCUUGAAUUGGGUUGAGGUUAGCGGAAUGUGACAUGUAGCGGUGAAAUGCAUAGAUAUGUCAUGGAACACCAAUUGCGAAGGCAGCUAGCUGGGCCUUGAUUGACGCUGAUGCACGAAAGCGUGGGUAGCGAACAGGAUUAGAUACCCCGGUAGU
rnacentral:rRNA from 1 species